rnacentral:rRNA from 1 species
UACGUNCCAGCAGCCGCGGUAAUACGUAGNUCCCGAGCGUUGUCCGGAUUUAUUGGGCGUAAAGGGAGCGCAGGCGGUCAGGAAAGUCUGGAGUAAAAGGCUAUGGCUCAACCAUAGUGUGCUCUGGAAACUNUCUGACUUGAGUGCAGAAGGGGAGAGUGGAAUUCCAUGUGUAGCGGUGAAAUGCGUAGAUAUAUGGAGGAACACCAGUGGCGAAAGCGGCUCUCUGGUCUGUCACUGACGCUGAGGCUCGAAAGCGUGGGUAGCGAACAGGAUUAGAUACCCUGGUAGUCCACGCCGUAAACGAUGAGUGCUAGGUGUUAGGCCCUUUCCGGGGCUUAGUGCCGGAGCUAACGCAAUAAGCACUCCGCCUGGGGAGUACGACCGCAAGGUUGAAACUCAAAGGAAUUGACGGGGGCCCGCACAAGCGGUGGAGCAUGUGGUUUAAUUCGAAGCAACGCGAAGAACCUUACCAGGUCUUGACAUCCCGAUGCUAUUCUUAGAGAUAGGAAGUUACUUCGGUACAUCGGAGACAGGUGGUGCAUGGUUGUCGUCAGCUCGUGUCGUGAGAUGUUGGGUUAAGUCCCGCAACGAGCGCAACCCUUAUUGUUAGUUGCCAUCAUUAAGUUGGGCACUCUAGCGAGACUGCCGGUAAUAAACCGGAGGAAGGUGGGGAUGACGUCAAAUCAUCAUGCCCCUUAUGACCUGGGCUACACACGUGCUACAAUGGUCGGUACAACGAGUUGCGAGCCGGUGACGGCAAGCUAAUCUCUGAAAGCCGAUCUCAGUUCGGAUUGGAGGCUGCAACUCGCCUCCAUGAAGUCGGAAUCGCUAGUAAUCGCGGAUCAGCACGCCGCGGUGAAUACGUUCCCGGGCCUUGUACACACCGCCCGUCACACCACGAGAGUUUGUAACACCCGAAGUCG